rnacentral:misc_RNA from 1 species
AAAGUCGUAACAAGGUCUCCGUAGGUGAACCUGCGGAGGGAUCAUUCACAUGAUUUACUUUUCUAAACAAACUGUGAACUUUAUUUACUAUUCGUGUAGGGAUUACUUUGGUAUUCUUUUACACUGUCAUUCGAUGAACAUUAGAUAGCUGGCUCGUUUUUUUUAAUUCAAAACUUUCUCAGCUGAUUUGUUUUUGUUAGACUAAACAUCUAUUCAAUACAAUCAACCAAACAUAGAAACAACUCUAUGCCCUGGAUAUCUUGGUUCUC